rnacentral:rRNA from 1 species
CAGUAGCCGCGGGAAUACGUAUGUCACAAGCGUUAUCCGGAUCUAUUGGGCGUAAAGCGCGUCUAGGCGGUUAAUUAAGUCUGAUGUGAAAAUGCGGAGCUCAACUCCGUAUUGCGUUGGAAACUGGUUAACUAGAGUACUGGAGAGGUAAGCGGAACUACAAGUGUAGAGGUGAAAUUCGUAGAUAUUUGUAGGAAUGCCGAUGGGGAAGCCAGCUUACUGGACAGAUACUGACGCUAAAGCGCGAAAGCGUGGGUAGCAAACAGGAUUAGAUACCCGAGUAGUCCCUGUCUCUUAUACC